rnacentral:rRNA from 1 species
UACGUAGGGUGCGAGCGUUGUCCGGAUUUAUUGGGCGUAAAGAGCUCGUAGGCGGUUUGUCGCGUCGGCCGUGAAAUCUCCACGCUUAACGUGGAGCGUGCGGUCGAUACGGGCAGACUUGAGUUCGGUAGGGGAGACUGGAAUUCCUGGUGUAGCGGUGAAAUGCGCAGAUAUCAGGAGGAACACCGGUGGCGAAGGCGGGUCUCUGGGCCGAUACUGACGGCUGAGGCGCGGAAAUGCCCAGGGAGCAAACGGG